rnacentral:lncRNA from 1 species
AAAAAGUAAAUUCAGAUUUUACAUUGUGUGUGAUAAUAGGGUCAAAAAGUUUUAUGAGUGUAGAAGGUGAGGACAGCUAAAGUAGAAAUAAUAAUCUAAAUUUUAAUGUUGAAAUUAUCAUUACUGAACUAGAUAUUUAUUCUCUAGGCCUGAAGAAGAAGUUCAGUGGGAAAAACUUACCAAAGAUUAAAGAAAAUGUUGAAUAUACUGAAGAGAGCUCUUCAUGCAACCAAAGCAAUCAAGUGACUGGCAGCGAAACAACAGACUUUAAGAGAAAAGAAGAGGAGCCAGAAGAAAGCAGUGUACCACUGAAGGAUUCCAAAAUAAUCAACUUUGAAAAUAAAGGAAGUUUGAAAAAUGCUGAAGUGACUUCAAGUACAGAAAUUACUCUUCCCACAGGUGUUUCCACCUUCCUCAUAGAGUGUUUAGAUGAAGAUUCAGCUGCAGAUUAUAGCACUGCUGGCAACAGCCUGCAAACUUACUCAUCCCCUGAAACAUUCAGAGAUGAUGAUUUGGAAAGAUGCAAUUUUUACUCUAUGGACCUUGGCAAGUACAAGAACUCUACUCUCCUGGACUCCAGCAAAGCAAUGGCCAUUGAUAAGAUACCACAGAUGUCAAAUCUUUCAGCAAUAUUAGAACCUGUACCAGAGGAUUUUCCAAACCAACGCACAAAAAGAAAGAGACCAUCAAGUUCUUCAGCAUUAAGCGUUUCAGCUACUCUGGCAGGUAAAAUAUGA